rnacentral:rRNA from 1 species
AGCGGAGAUAUAUGGAGCUUGCUUUAUAUAACUUAGCAGCGAACGGGUGAGUAACACGUAGAUAAUCUAUCCUAUACUGGGGGAUAGCCCGAUGAAAGUUGGAUUAAUACCGCAUAUAGCUAUAUAGUUGCAUGAUUAUGUAGUGAAAGAUUUAUUGGUAUAGGAGGAGUCUGCGGCACAUUAGCUAGUAGGUGAGGUAAAGGCUUACCUAGGCGACGAUGUGUAGCCGGUCUGAGAGGAUGAACGGCCACAAUGGAACUGAGACACGGUCCAUACUCCUACGGGAGGCAGCAGUGGGGAAUAUUGCACAAUGGGGGAAACCCUGAUGCAGCAACGCCGCGUGAGUGAAGAAGGUUUUCGGAUUGUAAAGCUCUGUUAGCAGGGAAGAGGAAGGACGGUACCUGCAGAGGAAGCCACGGCUAACUACGUGCCAGCAGCCGCGGUAAUACGUAGGUGGCAAGCGUUGUUCGGAAUAACUGGGCGUAAAGGAUGCGUAGGCGGUUAAACAAGCUAUAUGUUAAAUAUAUAGGCUUAACCUGUAGAAAGCAUAUAAAACUGUUUAACUAGAGUGCAGGAGAGGUAAGUGGAAUUCCUAGUGUAGCGGUGAAAUGCGUAGAGAUUAGGAAGAACACCAGUGGCGAAGGCGACUUACUGGACUGUAACUGACGCUGAGGCAUGAGAGCAUGGGGAGCAAACAGGAUUAGAUACCCUGGUAGUCCAUGCUGUAAACGAUGGGUACUAGGUGUGGGUUGUGAAUAACAAUUUCGUGCCGUCGCAAACGCAAUAAGUACCCCGCCUG